UGAGUACGAGCUGCUACGGCAGCGAAGUGGGUGAUGUCAAGCUUCCAAGAAAAGCCCUAUACCCGUUAAGGCAUGACGGCCUGUACCCGAAACCGACACAGGUGGGGUGGUAGAGAAUACCGAGGGGCGCGAGAUAACUCUCUCUAAGGAACUCGGCAAAAUGGCCCCGUAACUUCGGGAGAAGGGGUGCCACCGCAAGGUGGUCGCAGUGAAGAGGCCCAGGCGACUGUUUACCAAAAACACAGGUCUCCGCUAAGUCGCAAGACGAUGUAUGGGGGCUGACGCCUGCCCAGUGCCGGAAGGUUAAGGAAGCUGGUCAGCGCAAGCGAAGCUGGCGACUGAAGCCCCGGUGAACGGCGGCCGUAACUAUAACGGUCCUAAGGUAGCGAAAUUCCCUGUCGGGUAAGUUCCGACCCGCACGAAAGGCGUAACGAUCUGGGCGCUGUCUCGGAGAGAGGCUCGGCGAAAUAGAAUUGUCUGUGAAGAUGCGGACUACGUGCACCCGGACAGAAAGACCCUAUGAAGCUUUACUGUAGCUUGGUAUUGUGCCCGGGCUCUGAAUGCGCAGGAUAGGUGGGAGGCUUUGAUCCAUUGCUUGCGGGUGAUGGUGAGCCAACGGUGAGAUACCACUCUUUCAGAGCUAGGGUUCUAACGGUCACCCGUUAUCCGGGGACCGGACAGUAUCUGGUGGGCAGUUUGACUGGGGCGGUCGCCUCCUAAAAGGUAACGGAGGCGCGCAAAGGUUUCCUCAGGCUGGUUGGAAAUCAGCCGACGAGUGUAAAGGCAGAAGGGAGCUUGACUGUGAGACCUACAAGUCGAACAGGGACGAAAGUCGGCCUUAGUGAUCCGACGGUUCUGAGUGGAAGGGCCGUCGCUCAACGGAUAAAAGUUACUCUAGGAUAACAGGCUGAUCUCCCCCAAGAGUUCACAUCGACGGGGAGGUUUGGCACCUCGAUGUCGGCUCAUCGCAACCUGGGGCUGAAGUCGGUCCCAAGGGUUGGGCUGUUCGCCCAUUAAAGCGGUACGCGAGCUGGGUUCAGAACGUCGUGAGACAGUUCGGUCCAUAUCCGGUGCAUGCGCAGGAACAUUGAGAGGAUUUCUCCCUAGUACGAGAGGACCGGGAGGAACGCACCUCUGGUGUGCCAGUUAUCGUGCCAACGGUAAACGCUGGGUAGCCAUGUGCGGAGCGGAUAACCGCUGAAAGCAUCUAAGUGGGAAGCCCACCUCAAGAUGAGUGUUCCCAUGGCAUAAGCCAGUAAGGUCACGGGAAGAACACCCGUUGAUAGGCUCUACGUGGAAGCGUGGCAACACGUGAAGCGGAGGAGUACUAAUAGACCGAGGGCUU
rnacentral:rRNA from 1 species